UAUUAGUGAACUCUCUGGAUCCCAGGUA
rnacentral:piRNA from 1 species